UUUUAUAAUAACUGAAGAAAACUAUAGCCAUAGCUAUCUGUCUUCAACCCCAUCAAAGACCACAGAAGGAUAAUAUAUAAACUCUAGAAUUGACAGAGACAUCUCGAUACCUGGACAGUCACCCAAAGUUCCUCUGUAACGUUGGGGCAUCCAUCUUCAGCCCAUAGGCCACAGUGUAUCUGGCAGACUCUCCAUGAAGCAGGAACCCUUUAGGACUGUUCAUCUUGUUUUAGUCCCUAAGUAUGUGAGAUGCCAAUGACUAGCAUACGUUGCCUAGGACAAACCAGUGCCAAUUCUUGCAGAACUUGAGGGUCAGCAGGAAACUGGCUUUUGGAAGGAACUGCUGAGGCUGUGGGGUCCUGGUUUCAAGGACAUCUUAUCUUCCUUGAGAAAGAAGAGAGGCCUUUAAAACCACAUCCAGGAAAUCUCUUCAUCUAUCAACAUCUGAGAUUAUGCUAAUGAAGUGACAUCGCCUAUAUAACCCCAGAGGAACCCAGAGGAACCAACCAUUAUGACUGGAAUGGAGGAACCUGUGUGCCACACUCAGACCCCUGGAGAAAACAAAGUGAUACAGAUUGGGUUACUCCCCAAUAGCCAAUGGCUUCUUCACACACAUCUACCUUUGAAACCUCAAUGAGAAACUAAAUAAGGAGGUACAGGGAAGGUUUGUGAUUGGUGGACAAUGGUAUUUUUUGCUAAGGUGAUGGUACACACCAACUCCUCAAUGGGAUAAGAAGCUCCUAUCUAGGGUAGUUUGGGAUCUCCCCCUGAAUGUCAUUUGUGUCCCUGACAAUAUCCUGUAUAAUAA
rnacentral:lncRNA from 1 species